CAGGCUCAGAAUACCCGCAGUGCUACACAGGAUGCCAAUGGCGGCCAGCCGAAUCAGCGGAGAGGAGCCAGGGUUCCUGCGGGCUCUCCGGGGACACGUGACCCCGACUAUGACGCGCCUUUGUUUGAGAACGAGGGUGAAAGCGACGAGGAGGCAGAGUAGCCACACCUGGGCAGCCGCGAAAGAUUGGUCGAAAAUAUCAGGAAACGUAUAAAAACAAGCCGAUAUCUUAUAUGGAAAUUAGCUGUCGGAUUCCACGUUAGCAUGCAAGUCUCCAAGUGGAGAAGGGUAGCCUCCAAAGUAGACUCUCUAAGCCUAUUUUGUUUUGUUUUUUGUCAUAAUUCACUUUUGUUGACGUUUUUUUAGAGGCUUUAUUCGUCCAUUAGCAGAGAUACAAACAAUGUACAAUGCUAGUCUUCUUGGACAUAAAAUACCCAAAUGACAACGUUACACAUACAGAUACAUACAAUUAUUUAUAGUGCAAAUCAAUCAGUACAUACAAUUAUUUACAAUGAAAGUCGUCUGUCCUGGGUCGCUUGUGCCGGCGGCCAACUCGGACAAAAAAAAGGCCCCAAGAGCCUGCUAUGGUGGCAAGGAAUAGAUUUUGGAACAUCCCACAAAAUAGGUUCAUUGUCAUGUAUAUGGUAUCGUCCAAAUGAAGUGAUCAUUAGGUCUUGGGUCUUUUUUUCAUCUUGUUGUCUACAUUGGGCCAGAAAUAGGACGGUUGAAAUUAUAGUACAGUUGAAGAUCGAUGAUAUUCACGUUCUGAAUUAGAAUAUGGCUUCACCCUUAUAUUGAUUAUCGAAGAGAAUAAAGACAGGUUGAUAGGGUAGAGUACUGCGUGUAAAAUAAAAGAUUGUCCGAGUGCUUUUAUACGUGAA